rnacentral:rRNA from 1 species
CUACGGGGUGCUCCAGUGGGGAAUAUUGCACAACGGAGGAAACUCUGAUGCAGCAACGCCGCGUGGAGGGUGACACUUUUCGGAGCGUAAACUCCUUUUAUAUAGGAAGAAGAUGACGGUACUAUAUGAAUAAGCGCCGGCUAACUCCGUGCCAGCAGCCGCGGUAAUACGGAGGGCGCAAGCGUUACUCGGAAUCACUGGGCGUAAAGAGCGUGUAGGCGGAUUAAAAAGUCAGAAGUGAAAUCCUAUAGCUUAACUAUAGAACUGCUUCUGAAACUCUUAAUCUAGAAUAUGGGAGAGGUAGAUGGAAUUUCUGGUGUAGGGGUAAAAUCCGUAGAGAUCAGAAGGAAUACCGAUUGCGAAGGCGAUCUACUAGAACAUUAUUGACGCUGAGACGCGAAAGCGUGGGGAGCAAACAGGAUUAGAUACCCGGGUAGUC